AUACGAAGGGGGCUAGCGUUGUUCGGAAUUACUGGGCGUAAAGCGCACGUAGGCUGUUUGGUAAGUCAGGGGUGAAAUCCCGGGGCUCAACCUCGGAACUGCCUUUGAUACUGGGUGUCUAGAGUGUGGAAGAGGUAAGUGGAAUUCCGAGUGUAGAGGUGAAAUUCGUAGAUAUUCGGAGGAACACCAGUGGCGAAGGCGGCUUACUGGUCCAUUACUGACGCUGAGGUGCGAAAGCGUGGGGAGC
rnacentral:rRNA from 1 species